GAAAAGUCGAAAAAGAAAUUUUAUUCUAAUCGCGGAUGCAAGUAAAAAGAUCGACAAAUUUCCGAGAAAUGGAGUUGAUCGGUUUGGCUUCUGAAAAGUCAUGUGGCAGUCAGAUGUGUUAAAAAUGGGAAUCAAACGUUACACGAACGAAAUUUCAUAUGCUGCAAUCUCGAAUUUCUGAGAAAUUUCAAGAUAAAAUAAAUUUCCAUCAAAGUGCCACUCCUGCGACCGUAUUCCUGAAGAUACCGUUCGGAACUUGGAGUGGCCGUCAGUUUAUGACUCGGACAACACAUCUCCCUUUUUUGGGAAAGUCCGAAUUGCCUACCUCCCCCAGCUGUAAACCUCACGAUCAUUAAGAUGUUAAGAAACACCCUAAAUGCCGAUGGGUCAGGGCAAAGGUAAACAAGUGGCAAUACCAGAGGAUAUGAACCCACGAGAGUAAAAUUAAACCAGCGAAAACCCAGAGACGGAGAGUCAGGAUGUAAGAACGAGACGAAGCUUCUGGUGAGAGUAGCAACAACGUCCCACCAUAGUCUUCAUCGGAGCGUCGUACUG